CCACCAAUCUCCUGUUUUUGUUAGCGCUGAAAUGUGUCUCAGUGAGCACAAAGUUAGUGUGAUGUUAUAGUGCGGUGUGGAUGUGAGGGCGUGAGGUGGGCGUGUGUCAGCCAAAGGAAGGGCAGCACAUUCGAAGACAGCCGAGGUGAUCCCACACCAGCUGAACAAAUCCUCGGCCUUUUGUCUUAUGGCGGCGGGCGAGUGUGGUUCCUUGUGUGUGCGUGCGUGCGUGGCGUCUUGGUUAGUGUAGUGAUAGUGUGUUGAUCCUAUUGAAUGCGUCUUCCUCGCGUUGGAUUUGGUGAGUACCCGUAUCACAGGUCACACCGUGGGACUGACACCGCUGGAGCAACCCUUCGGAAUAAAGUCAAGUACAAAUUACGGUUUGCUAGGCGUUAGGUGUUAGGCAUAGGGCGAUAGGCGGCGCGGCUAACCAUUCUCUUCCAGGUACAAAGUAACCUUCUCUUCCAGGUACAUGUUAAUUAUCUAGUCUUCCCCAGUAAUGCCCUGGUUAGCGCACCGUGGCGGCGAUCCAGGAGCCUCCUGCUGGUGGCGGUGGUGGUGGCGUGGCGGGCGUGCACGUGCUAUCAUAUGGGUUGCGUGGUAGGUGCGUUCACUGGUCUGGGCUGUGUUGGUGCGUGUUCUGAAGAGAUGACCGCAGACACGCUGGCUGCUGAUGACUAGACCCGCACAGAGGCAGUGUACUGUACAAGCUGGAUGGAAGUAUGCAAACCUCGCAAUGAAGAUGGAAAAGGUCCGCAGAAAACGACACGC
rnacentral:lncRNA from 1 species